UACGGAGGGGGCUAGCGUUGUUCGGAAUUACUGGGCGUAAAGCGCACGUAGGCGGCUUUGUAAGUUAGAGGUGAAAGCCCGGGGCUCAACUCCGGAAUUGCCUUUAAGACUGCAUCGCUAGAAUUGUGGAGAGGUAAGUGGAAUUCCGAGUGUAGAGGUGAAAUUCGUAGAUAUUCGCAAGAACACCAGUGGCGAAGGCGGCCUCACUGGCCCGGUACUGACGCUG
rnacentral:rRNA from 1 species